rnacentral:rRNA from 1 species
GACGAACGCUGGCGGCGUGCCUAAUACAUGCAAGUCGAACGAGUGGCGGACGGGUGAGUAACACGUGGGUAACCUACCCCCAGAGGGGGAUACCACUUGGAAACAGGUGCUAAUACCGAAUAAAGGGGGAUGGGCUCGCGGCCUAUCAGCUUGUUGGUGGGGUGAUGGCCUACCAAGGCGGUGACGGGUAGCCGGCCUGAGGGGGUGGCCGGCAACAUUGGGACUGAGAUACGGCCCAGACGCCUACGGGAGGCAGCAGUGGGGGAUGUUGCACAAGGGGCGAAAGCCUGAUGCAGCGACGCCGCGUGUAGGAAGAAGGCCGUAGGGUUGUAAAGGACUUUCAGCGGGGAGGCGUUACCCGCAGAAGAAGCACCGGCUAACUCCGUGCCAGCAGCCGCGGUAAUUC